GCAAAUGCCUGACACCAGGGAAAAGGAAGCCCGUGGACACUUACUCUCCAACGAUAUUACCAAGCAACUCAGACCAAGAUCUUAAUGUCAAGGUAACCACAAAAGUGGAUGUAAUCAAACGCUCCUCUGGGGAGAGGAAAGCCAGGGAGAAGUCAAAGGCAAAGCUCAGUGGAUGGAUGAGAUGGAUCAACUUGAGAGGGUUACUGGUCUCGUGAACAGAGGGGAAGCAGUAAUGAUGAUAUAUCUGGAAUUUCGAAAGAUAUUUGACAUGGUCCCACAUAAGCAAACGAGGGAAAACAACAAAAAUGAUAACGUUUAGAAAACUGGCUGUAUAAGGAAAGGUUAACAAACCUGGACGUGUACUCUAGAUAAAAU